UGGAGAUCUCUUCGCCAUCUUUUCUCCUCCCGUGGAGCCGCAGCCAUGAAGGUCGAGCUGUGCAAUUUCAGCGGGUACAAGAUCUACCCCGGACACGGGAGGCGCUACGCCAGGACCGACGGGAACGUUUUCCAGUUUAUUAAUGCAAAAUGCGAGUCGGCUUUCCUUUCCAAGAGGAAUCCUCGGCAGAUAAACUGGAUUGUCCUCUACAGAAGAAAGCACAAAAAGGGACAGUCGGAAGAAAUUCAAAAGAAAAGAAUGCGUCGAGCAGUCAAAUUCCAGAGGGCCAUUACUGGUGCAUCUCUUGCUGAUAUAAUGGCCAAGAGGAAUCAGAAACCUGAAGGCUUUGGAAAGGCUCAACGAGAACAAGCUAUCAGUGUUUUUACCCCGCAGGGCUGCCAAGGAAACAAAAAAGGCUAAGCAAGCAUCUAAAAAGACUGCAAUGGCUGCUGCUAAGGCACCCACAAAGGCAGCACCUAAGCAAAAGAAUGUGAAGCCUGUGAAAGUUUCAGCUCCCCGAGUUGGUGGAAAACGCUAAACUGGCAGAUUAGAUUUUUAAAUAAAGAUUGGAUUAUAACUCUAAAAAAAAAA